CAGGGGCGAAGCUACGUUGGCGAGUUGGGGUCAGCCGACCCCGACGACUUCACAGUUGCACCUUAUACACGUCGAUUUUCUACCAGCCAAGACCCCGGCAAAAAAACAUCGUGACCCCGGCACCCCGCACUCGGCAGCCCAAAACGCUAUGGCCCAACGAGUAUUUACUCCUCUCCUUUUGUCAAUACUCAAUAGUCAUCAACGAAAAUACGAAACGCAUGCAGUCCAACCUGUACUAGCAUACCACGUCCACACCAGAAGCCCAUAUUUGUACGUUCUGCCUGUUGGACGUCAGGGGUGGAGGCUAGCAAGUAGCAAGUAGCAGCAACCCAAAAGGCCAAAAGUCUUUUGUCUCUUGAUCCAGGGUUCAGGCGGCUAGCAGAACAACAAUCUGACGAUUGCUCUCCCGGCGGCGUUAUUUGCUAGUUUGCUUCGUCAAAACUGUGCUGUGCGUCUCCCCGAUGCGGCGACGUCCCUACUGCCUACUCCCUUCCACUCCAUAGUUCCACUCUUCCCUUCCACUCUUCCAGGCUUCCUCGGUCAAUCGUUCUCUCAAGUGAUCAAGUCUCAACCUCGGAUUUUCUCGCGGUGUUCGCCUGUUCGGCAUCAAAUUCCAAGGCUGCUGGUCUGGAUAAGCUGAUGAGUUACAUAUAACCAGAGGCAAGCACCAAGCAGUUAGUCUCCACAUUUUUUGCUCGUGACUUUGGUUCAAGCAGAGAGGUUGUCGUUGCUCUUAUUCAAGGAAAUGUCAAGCAACCAAAGCAAGUUGGAACGAUUCUUGAAAAGGAAAAUACCCCCAGCCAAUGAUAAUGACAAUCUAGAAGGAUGCACUUCAAGAAGGGAUGACAAUACAUCAAAUAUCAAUCGUCCUAUUCAUUGUUCUUCACGAGUCCCACAACAUGAGGUAAAUUUUGAUGAACUUCCAUAUGAUCCAGCUGACAGAAGGAGAAUAUCAGAUUAUAUAGGCCCUGAUCUACAAGAUGACAUAAGGCGAAAGUAUUUGACUAGAGGUCCUUGUAGACCGCCACCUGGUUUUAAGUUUCCACAAACGAUCAUAGCAGGUCAUCCCCGUCGGUGUCAAGCUGAAUGGUUCACUACAUAUGGCUGGUUAGAGUAUAGUGAGAAGGUGGAUAAGUGUUUUUGUUUACAAUGUUACUUGUUCAGAGAUUUCAACAAAGGCCAAGGUGGGAAUGAUGCAUUUGUAAUAAAUGGUUGGGAUGGCUGGAACAAAUCUGAUAGGCUUCGAGAUCAUGUCGGCAACAAAUGCAAUAGUUUUCAUAACACGGCUGUGAAGAGAUGUGACAAUCUUUUGAAGCCUGGACAAUCUAUUGGAAAUGUUUUUAACAAACAGACCACUGUCAGUAAAGAGGAACAUCUGAUUAGAUUAAAGACUUCCAUCAAAGCUGUUCGUUACUUGUUGCAUCAACUUGCAGAUAUGAUUGCUUGAACCCAAUUAUUGACUUACAACUUGCAGAGUUUAAUGAUCGUUUUAAUGAGGUGAACUCUCAUUUGCUUACUCAAAUUGCUGCUUUCAACCCCAAGAAUUCUUUUGAGGCCUUCAAAGUUGAGAGUUUAAUAGAGUUGGCUAAGUCAUACCCUGAUGAUUUUGAUUCAACACAAUUGAAGGAUCUUAGUCGUGAGCUUAACUUUUUCAUUGAUAAUGUGCGAGCUGAUGAAAGAUUUCUAGCUUGAUCUCUAAUUCUGCACUUGCAAGGCUGAUGGUGGAUACAACAAAACAUACGAGUUUUCCUUUGGUCUAUCGACUUCUCAAGCUAGUACUGGUUCUUCCAAUCGCCACUGCAUCGGUUGAGAGGUGCUUUUCAGCGAUGAAAAUUGUGAAGACAAUGUUAAGAAAUCGUAUUGGAGAUGGAUUUAUGAAUGAUUGUAUCAUAUGCUUCGUGGAACCAGGAUUUCUAGCCACAAUUCCAACUGAUGAUGUGAUAGUUCGCUUUCAUAAGAUGGAGGACCGUACCCGUAGAGGAAAAAUAUAGAAGGUAUGUAAAUACUAUUGCAAAAGCUUAUUUGUCACAAUAUGUUGCUUUUCUUUUUUAAACUAUCGAUGUUAUGCAUGACA